rnacentral:rRNA from 1 species
UCGGGAAUAUUGCACAAUGGAGGAAACUCUGAUGCAGUGACGCCGCGUGCAGGAAGAAGGUUUUCGGAUUGUAAACUGCUUUAGACAGGGAAGAAACAAGACAGUACCUGUAGAAUAAGCUCCGGCUAACUACGUGCCAGCAGCCGCGGUAAUACGUAGGGAGCAAGCGUUAUCCGGAUUUAUUGGGUGUAAAGGGUGCGUAGACGGGAAUUUAAGUUAGUUGUGAAAUCCCUCGGCUUAACUGAGGAACUGCAACUAAAACUGAAUUUCUUGAGUGCGGGAGAGGAAAGUGGAAUUCCUAGUGUAGCGGUGAAAUGCGUAGAUAUUAGGAGGAACACCAGUGGCGAAGGCGACUUUCUGGACCGUAACUGACGUUGAGGCACGAAAGUGUGGGGAGCAAACA